GGAUCAAUGAUGAGUCGCCCAUCAAAACAUUCCUUGGAAAAGCUGAACAACACCAGUGAAACUCACUACCAUCUCACUCAUCAGAACUGAGGUCC
ensembl:snoRNA SNORD116 Small nucleolar RNA SNORD116